rnacentral:rRNA from 1 species
CGGCGAGUGAAGCGGCAACAGCUCAAAUUUGAAAUCUGGCCCUAGCGGUCCGAAUUGUAAUUUGUAGAGGAUGCUUUUGGUGCGGUGCCUUCCGAGUUCCCUGGAACGGGACGCCAGAGAGGGUGAGAGCCCCGUACGGUUGGACACCUACCCUAUAUAUAGCUCCUUCGACGAGUCGAGUAGUUUGGGAAUGCUGCUCUAAAUGGGAGGUAAAUUUCUUCUAAAGCUAAAUACCGGCCAGAGACCGAUAGCGCACAAGUAGAGUGAUCGAAAGAUGAAAAGCACUUUGAAAAGAGGGUUAAAUAGCACGUGAAAUUGUUGAAAGGGAAGCGUUUGCGACCAGACCUUCUCUAGGCGGAUCAUCCGGUGUUCUCACCGGUGCACUUCGCCUGGUUUAGGCCAGCAUCGGUUUUCGUAGGGGGAUAAAGGCUUGGGGAACGUAUCUCUCUCGGGAGUGUUAUAGCCCCUCGCGUAAUACCCUUACGGGGACCGAGGACCGCGCUCUGCAAGGAUGCUGGCGUAAUGGUCGUCAACGACCCGUCUUGAAACACGGACCAAGGAGUCGAACAUUUGUG